GAUGAACGCUGGCGGCGUGCCUAAUACAUGCAAGUCGAGCGAACAGAUGAGGAGCUUGCUCCUCUGACGUUAGCGGCGGACGGGUGAGUAACACGUGGAUAACCUACCUAUAAGACUGGGAUAACUUCGGGAAACCGGAGCUAAUACCGGAUAAUAUAUUUAACCGCAUGGUUCAAUAGUGAAAGACGGUUUUGCUGUCACUUAUAGAUGGAUCCGCGCCGCAUUAGCUAGUUGGUAAGGUAACGGCUUACCAAGGCAACGAUGCGUAGCCGACCUGAGAGGGUGAUCGGCAACACUGGAACUGAGAAACGGUCCAGACUCCUACGGGAGGCAGCAGUAGGGAAUCUUCCGCAAUGGGCGAAAGCCUGACGGAGCAACGCCGCGUGAGUGAUGAAGGUCUUCGGAUCGUAAAACUCUGUUAUUAGGGAAGAACAAAUGUGUAAGUAACUAUGCACGUCUUGACGGUACCUAAUCAGAAAGCCACGGCUAACUACGUG
rnacentral:rRNA from 1 species